rnacentral:tRNA from 1 species
GCCCGAGUGGCGGAACUGGCAGACGCGACGGUCUCAAAAACCGUUGAGGCAACUCGUGCGGGUUCGAUCCCCGCCUCGGGCACCA